rnacentral:rRNA from 1 species
UACGUAGGGGGCAAGCGUUGUCCGGAAUCAUUGGGCGUAAAGAGCGUGUAGGCGGUCCAGUAAGUCCGCUGUGAAAGUCAAGGGCUCAACCCUUGAAUGCCGGUGGAUACUGCUGGACUAGAGUCCGGAAGAGGCGAGUGGAAUUCCUGGUGUAGCGGUGAAAUGCGCAGAUAUCAGGAGGAACACCGAUGGCGAAGGCAGCUCGCUGGGACGGUACUGACGCUGAGGCGCGAAAGCUAGGGGAGCAAACAGG